GAACCAGUACCGUGAGGGAAAGGUGAAAAGCACCCCGGAAGGGGAGUGAAAGAGAACCUGAAACCGUGUGCCUACAAGUAGUCAGAGCCCGUUAACGGGUGAUGGCGUGCCUUUUGUAGAAUGAACCGGCGAGUUACGAUCCCAUGCAAGGUUAAGUUGAAGAGACGGAGCCGCAGCGAAAGCGAGUCUGAAUAGGACGAAUAAGUAUGUGGUCGUAGACCCGAAACCAGGUGAUCUACCCAUGUCCAGGGUGAAGUCCAGGUAACACUGGAUGGAGGCCCGAACCCACGCACGUUGAAAAGUGCGGGGAUGAGGUGUGGGUAGCGGAGAAAUUCCAAUCGAACUUGGAGAUAGCUGGUUCUCUCCGAAAUAGCUUUAGGGCUAGCCUCAAGAUAAGAGUCUCGGAGGUAGAGCACUGAUUGGACUAGGGGCCCCCAACGGGUUACCGAAUUCAGUCAAACUCCGAAUGCCGAUGACUUAUUCUUGGGAGUCAGACUGCGAGUGAUAAGAUCCGUAGUCAAGAGGGAAACAGCCCAGACCACCAGCUAAGGUCCCAAAGUAUACGUUAAGUGGAAAAGGAUGUGGAGUUGCUUAGACAACCAGGAUGUUGGCUUAGAAGCAGCCACCAUUUAAAGAGUGCGUAAUAUCUCACUGGUCGAGUGACUCUGCGCCGAAAAUGUACCGGGGCUAAACGUAUCACCGAAGCUGUGGAUUGACAUCUACGAUGUCAGUGGUAGGAGAGCGUUCUAAGGGCGGUGAAGCUAGACCGUAAGGACUGGUGGAGCGCUUAGAAGUGAGAAUGCCGGUAUGAGUAGCGAAAGACAAGUGAGAAUCUUGUCCACCGUAUGCCUAAGGUUUCCUGAGGAAGGCUCGUCCGCUCAGGGUUAGUCGGGACCUAAGCCGAGGCCGAAAGGCGUAGGCGAUGGAUAACAGGUUGAUAUUCCUGUACUACCUCCCCACCGUUUGAGCAAUGGGGGGACGCAGAAGGAUAGGGGAAGCGCGCUGUUGGAUAUGCGCGUCCAAGCAGUAAGGCUGAGAAGUAGGCAAAUCCGCUUCUCGAUAAGGCUGAGCUGUGAUGGCGAGGGAAAUAAAGUACCGAAGUUCCUGAUUUCACGCUGCCAAGAAAAGCCUCUAGCGAGGUGGGAGGUACCCGUACCGCAAACCGACACAGGUAGGCGAGGAGAGAAUCCUAAGGUGUUCGAGAGAACUCUCGUUAAGGAACUCGGCAAAAUGACCCCGUAACUUCGGGAGAAGGGGUGCUCUGAUAGGGUGCAAGCCCGAGAGAGCCGCAGUGAAUAGGCCCAGGCGACUGUUUAGCAAAAACACAGGUCUCUGCGAAGCCGUAAGGCGAAGUAUAGGGGCUGACACCUGCCCGGUGCUGGAAGGUUAAGGGGAGAGGUUAGCGCAAGCGAAGCUUUGAACCGAAGCCCCAGUAAACGGCGGCCGUAACUAUAACGGUCCUAAGGUAGCGAAAUUCCUUGUCGGGUAAGUUCCGACCCGCACGAAAGGUGUAACGAUCUGGGCACUGUCUCAACGAGAGACUCGGUGAAAUUAUAGUACCUGUGAAGAUGCAGGUUACCCGCGACAGGACGGAAAGACCCCGUGGAGCUUUACUGUAGCCUGAUAUUGAAUUUUGGUACA
rnacentral:rRNA from 1 species